rnacentral:rRNA from 1 species
UUAAAACUCUUAGCAACGGAUCUCUAGGUUCUCGCAUCGAUGAAGAACGCAGCGAAAUGCGAUAAGUAGUGUGAAUUGCAGAAUUUUGUGAAUCAUCGAAUCUUUGAACGCAAAUUGCGCUUUUUGGUAUUCCAAAGAGCAUAUUUGUUUGAGCAUCA